rnacentral:misc_RNA from 1 species
AAGUCGUAACAAGGUAACCGUAGGUGAACCUGCGGUUGGAUCAUUAAAAAAUAUUUGGUCUCGUGCCAAAUCAACACUUGUGUGCACCAUUGUCUGUCCUUGGUAGCUCGAGCUGCUCCACGAGGUCUCAACAACCACGUGGCGCCUACCCCGCGGUGGGAUGCAAAUCCGGCCGCGUUGUGGUUGGGCUACCGACCUUUCUGAUAAACCUUUUUGUUUGUUGUUUUUCUGUCUGAACGAAGAGUUAAUCUGUAAGAUUAAUGAUUUGAAUACAACUUUUGACAACGGAUCUCUUGGCUCUC